CCUACGGGAGGCAGCAGUGGGGAAUAUUGCGCAAUGGACGAAAGUCUGACGCAGCAACGCCGCGUGAGGGAUGACGGCCUUCGGGUUGUAAACCUCUUUCAGCAGGGACGAAGCGAGAGUGACGGUACCUGCAGAAGAAGGACCGGCCAACUACGUGCCAGCAGCCGCGGUAAUACGUAGGGUCCGAGCGUUGUCCGGAAUUAUUGGGCGUAAAGGGCUCGUAGGCGGUUCGUCACGUCGGGAGUGAAAACUCGGAGCUUAACUCCGAGCCUGCUUCCGAUACGGGCAGACUAGAGGUAGGCAGGGGAGAGCGGAACUCCUGGUGUAGCGGUGGAAUGCGCAGAUAUCAGGAAGAACACCGGUGGCGAAGGCGGCUCUCUGGGGCCUUAACCUGACGCUGAGGAGCGAAAGCGUGGGUAGCGAACAGGAUUAGAUACCCUGGUAGUCCACGCCGUAAACGUUGGCGCUAGGUGUGGGGGACCAUUCCUACGUCCUCCGUCGCGCAGCUACGACAUAGUCGCCCGCCGUCGGGUAGGUACGGCCGGCGACGGACGUAAACCGUACGAACGGAAGUUAGACGGCGUGAGACGUGCCGACGGACGACGACGAGGGAGGUAGG
rnacentral:rRNA from 1 species